CACCGGCCGCUCAAGUGGUGGCCGUUUUUAUUGGGCCUAAAGCGUUCGUAGCCGGCUUGAUAAGUCUCUGGUGAAAUCCUGCAGCUUAACUGUGGGAAUUGCUGGAGAUACUAUCAGGCUUGAGGUCGGGAGAGGUUAGAGGUACUCCCAGGGUAGGGGUGAAAUCCUGUAAUCCUGGGAGGACCACCUGUGGCGAAGGCGUCUAACUGGAACGAACCUGACGGUGAGGAACGAAAGCCAGGGGC
rnacentral:rRNA from 1 species